AGUUCCUGCCAGUGAGUCCCUAGGCCUCCAUCUCUCUCCCUUGCUGUACCACCUUCACCACCAUCCAUGCGACCCCAAGAGCCUUAAUGACUCUAGAAGAGACUCCAGGCAGGGGAAGCUGAAAGGACCUUUCACUCCCUACUUUUGGCCAGGGCCUUCUGUGCCACCUGCCAAGACCAGCAGGCCUACCCUCUGAAGAGGUCCAAGCAACGGAAGUACUACUACGAAGCUGCCUUUCUGGCCAUCCUUGAGAAAAAUAGACAGAUGGCCAAGGAGAGGGGCCUAAUAAGCCCCAGUGAUUUUGCCCAGCUGCAAAAAUACAUGGAAUCUUCCUCAGUGGCUUUGAGCAGUGUGCUGCUCAGAUGUGCCCAUGACUGGAAAUGGGAGGAGUGGGAGAUGGGGAGAUGUCAGAAAAAGAUCCGGAUCUACCACAGUCUAACUGGGCUGCAUUGUGCAAGGUCUCGGCUCUCUACCCACCUUCGCUAUACCUGGACUGCUUGCUCCAGCUCUCAGAGAAGAGGAGUAAAGAGUGACUCCACCAAAAAGGU
rnacentral:lncRNA from 1 species